UCGCCUCCACGCGCCUCCCCAGGUUCCGGCGCCCUUUCGGCUCCUUGCGUCGCACUGCCUCCCCCGCGCGUGCUGCCUUCCGUUUUCCCUCCUAACACCCAUAAACGGCGUCCACCAACCGCCAUGGCCUUCAAUCCGCUCGAUUCCGCUCCCCGGGCACCGCCUCCGCUCCUCUUCUCGCCUAUAAAAAGGUGCCAUCAGCUUCCCCCGACGCCCCUCCACCCGUUCCAGCCAUCAAUCACCGCUGCCACCAUAUCUUGAGCGCCACCACCACUACCUGCUCCUAGCGCCGCCGCGCCGUCUGUCCUCCGCCGCCAGAGCUACUCCCGCCUGCAGCUGCCGCCGGUGAGCGCCCCUCCCGCGCCUCUCACUCUCCCCUACGCUGCUUGCGCCGGCCGCCAAGUCCCCGCCGUGCCAAGAGCGCCG
rnacentral:lncRNA from 1 species